AGUGAACGCUGGCGGUAGGCCUAACACAUGCAAGUCGAACGGCAGCACAGUAAGAGCUUGCUCUUACGGGUGGCGAGUGGCGGACGAGUGAGGAAUACAUCGGAAUCUACUUUUUCGUGGGGGAUAACGUAGGGAAACUUACGCUAAUACCGCAUACGACCUACGGGUGAAAGCAGGGGAUCUUCGGACCUUGCGCGAUUGAAUGAGCCGAUGUCGGAUUAGCUAGUUGGCGGGGUAAAGGCCCACCAAGGCGACGAUCCGUAGCUGGUCUGAGAGGAUGAUCAGCCACACUGGAACUGAGACACGGUCCAGACUCCUACGGGAGGCAGCAGUGGGGAAUAUUGGACAAUGGGCGAAAGCCUGAUCCAGCCAUACCGCGUGGGUGAAGAAGGCCCUCGGGUUGUAAAGCCCUUUUGUUGGGAAAGAAAAGCAGCAGGUUAAUACCCCGCUGUUCUGACGGUACCCAAAGAAUAAGCACCGGCUAACUUCGUG
rnacentral:rRNA from 1 species